UACCAGACUAUAUUUGAAUACGGCAUACCCAUGAAUUCUGGAACUGUUAUUCCUUAACCCAGUUUGGAGGAUAAGAGCUUACCAACUAGUUAUAAAUAUGCUGAGGUGAUGUAUUGCAAAAUAGCCAACAUACAACAAUAUGGAUGACCCUCUGUCUGGUCAACAGGAGUUUAAAUAUGGAUGGGGCAGUUAUGUGGCAGCUCUUCCCUGGCUCAUUCACCUCUUGCCUUUCAUUUGUGAAAGGAAGAAAGACUGGAGAGGGUCAAUGUGCAACUGAAGCUACUGAUUGUGCUAUGUGAUGAGCAUCAAUCCAUGCUUUGAGGGGAAUGAAUCAGCACAGCCCUGCCUGCACUGCGUUGGGAACAGAAGUUGCAUCCAGAAUUUUUGCAUCAUUCUGGACCAAAAAGCCAUUCCCUCCAUGAUGAAGACCACUGAUGCAGCCUUCCACUACAUCAUGAGUAAAACAACUACAGAACUAAAUACCAGGUUGGAAUGUAUUUAAGAAAAAUGAAACGUCUUUUGAAUUGAAAUGUCUGUUUUGUUAUGGAUAAAUCUUUAGUAUUGUGAAGGAUAAGCAUUUCUGCCUGCCAGUAAGGUAAUUGCAGUGUAUUUUAAUGUUCAAGUUUUGAGUAGGGUGGCUAAUUUUUUUAAACUCUCAUUUGAUAUAUUAAAGACCUUAUAAUAAGUGGUUUUCAUGUCACUGCGCUGUGGUAUAAGAUAACUUUCAUUAUUCCAUACUGUAUUCUGUUUCUAAUUGUAGCUGAGGUAUUUAAAUAAGCAGUGUUAAAUGCAAAGUGUUGUGUGUAUCAAUGUAAAUAUUAAAUGUGAUGUACUUUAAUAAAAAGAGGUUUUGCAAUAUUUCUUGUCAUUUGUCUUUUAUAGAAACAACCCAUUAGCAACAAAAGUGGCUAUUAAUCAGUAUUUUAACACUUAACAUUGUUGAAUUCACAUUACACUGGUGUUGACUUUAAAUUAGGAGUGUUAAUUUUUAACACUGUAUUUCUGUGCCAACACCAGUGUAGUGUGGAAACAACAAUGAAUAGUGUUGAACAAAGUGUAAAAUUUAACAAUAUUGAGUGUUAAAUUAACAUAUAAUGAGUGUUGUUAAAUUAACACUACACUUUUGACUAAAUUAACACAGUGUAGUGUGGACACAUAUACACACUUUUCCAGUGUUAAAUUUGACACCCUGGGUGUUAUUUUAACACCAGUGAUUUUGCUGU